UGCGAUACCUCGGGGUGCCCGCACGGGCUGAGAUGCAUGACGCGAACCCGUUGAACCUGAACCGGUUGAUACCGGCGGAGGGAAGGUGACGGCAUCCUGC
rnacentral:ncRNA from 2 species